CAUACAUCAUUCGUAUCACAUUUCAUAUCACAUUCGUUGGGUAUAAGAAGAGAUGUGUUCAUAGCUACCCGGUAUCUGAGAUUCCUUGGAAGUAUUGUGUAUUACCCUGUUUACAGUUUCCUUUAGGGUAUUCUCCUUCUGUUUUACCUUUUCAUUUAUGAGUAUAUACAGUUUUCUAAUUCUACAUUGCAUAAUUACUUGUACAACAAUAC
rnacentral:lncRNA from 1 species